AUCUUUUUGUUCUGAGCAAUGCUGUUCUCCUGACUGUAAAGUUGGUGCCCACAUUACCUGCAUAUGUCCUAGGGAGAGAAAAAUACCAAUAAAUGAACUGGUUUAUAUAAAAGCCCAACGAGAAAAGAUUGGAUCUUUAAGUUCAUAUCAACUUGGGCCUGCUGAUUUGAUGGAGUC